AUAGACCCUAACUAUGAACUAAUCAAUACUCUUUCCGGCUCAGACUGCAUUGGUUAAGUGUUAUGGGUCUGUCACGUAACUAAGGAACGAGUCAAAAGCCAGAUAGACCCUAACUAUGAACUUAUCAAUUCUCUUUCCGGCUCAGACUCUAUUGGUUAAGUGUUAUGGGUCUGUCACGUAACUACGGAACGAGUCAAAAACCCGAUAGACCCGAACUAUGAACUAAUCAAUACUCUUUCAGGCUCAUACUGCAUUGGUUAAGCUUAUAGGUCUGUCACAUGACGAAGGAACGAGUCAAAAGCCCGAUAGACCCGAACUAUGAACUAAUCAAUACUCUUUCAGGCUCAUACUGCAUUUGUUAAGCGUAUGGGUCUUUCACGUGAUUAAGGAACGAGUCAAAAGCCAGAUAGACCCUGACUAUGAACUAAUCAAUACUCUUUCCGGCUCAGACUGCAUUGGUUAAGUGUUAUGGGUCUGUCACGUAACUAAGGAACGAGUCAAAAACCCGAUAGACCCGUACUAUGAACUAAUCAAUAAUCUUUCAGGCUCAUACUGCAUUGGUUAAGCUUAUGGGUCUGUCACAUGACUAAGGAACGAGUCAAAAGCCCAAUAGACCCGAACUAUGAACUAAUCAAUACUCUUUCAGGCUCAUACUGCAUAGGUUUAUCGUAUGGGGCUGUCACGUGAUUAAGGAACGAGUCAAAAAACCCGAUAGACCCGAACAAUGAACUAAUCAAUACUCUUUCAGGCUCAUACUGCAUUGGUUAAGCGUAUGGGUCUGUCACGUGACUAAGGAACGAGUCAAAAGCCCGAUAGACCCGAACUAUGAACUAAUCAAUACUCUUUCCGGCUCAGACUGCAUUGGUUAUGCGUAUGGGUCUGUCACAUGUUUAAGGAACGAUUCAAAAACCUGAUAGACCCGAACUAUGAGCUAAUCCAUUCUAUUUCCGGCUCAGACUGCAUAGGUUUAGCGUAUGGGGCUGUCACGUGAUUAAGCAACGACUCAAAAACCCGAUAGACCCGAGCUAUGAACUAAUCAAUACUCUUUCCGGCUCAGACUGCAUUGGUUAAGUGUUAUGGGUCUGUCACGUAACUAAGGAACGAGUCAAAAACCCGAUAGACCCGAACUAUGAACUAAUCAAUAAUCUUUCAGGCUCAUACUGCAUUGGUUAAGCUUAUGGGUCUGUCACAUGACUAAGGAACGAGUCAAAAGCCCAAUAGACCCGAACUAUGAACUAAUCAAUACUCUUUCAGGCUCCUACUGCAUUGGUUAAGCGUAUGGGUCUGUCACGUGACUAAGGAACAGGUCAAAAGCCCGAUAGACCCGAACUAUGAACUAAUCAAUACUCUUUCCGGCUCAGACUGCAUUGGUUAAGUGUUAUUGGUCUGUCACGUAACUAAGGAACGAGUCAACAACCCGAUAGACCCGAACUAUGGACUAAUCAAUACUCUUUCAGGCUCAUACUGCAUUGGUUAAGCUUAUUGGUCUGUCACAUGACUAAGGAUUGAGUCAAAAUACCGAUAGACCCGAACUAUGAACUAAUCAAUACUCUUUCAGGCUCAUACUGCAUUGGUUAAGCGUAUGGGUCUGUCACGUGAUUAAGGAACGAGUCAAAAGCCCGAUAGACCCGAAUUAUGAACUAAUCCUUUCAAUUUCCAGCUCAGACUGCACAGGUUUAGCGUAUGGGGCUGUCACGUGAUUAAGGAACGAGUCAAAAGCCUGAUAGACCCUAACUAUGAACUAAUCAAUUCUCUCUUCAGCUCAGACUGCAUUGGUUAUGCAUAUGGCUCUGUCACGUGACUAAGGAACGAGUCAAAAACCUGAUAGUCCCGAACUAUGAACUAAUCAAUACUCUUUCAGGCUCAUUCUGCAUUGGUUAAGCGUAUGGGUCUGUCACGUGACAAAGGAAUGAGUCAAAAGCCCGAUAGACCCGAACUAUGAACUAAUCAAUACUCUUUCAGGCUCAUACUGCAUUGGUUAAGCAUAUGGGUCUGUCACGUGAUUAAGGAAAGAGUCAAAAGCCCAAUAGACCGGAACUAUGAACUAAUCAAUGCUCUUUCCAGCUCAGACUGCAUAACUAAUCAAUACUCUUUCAGGCUCAUACUGCAUUGGUUAAGCAUAUGGGUCUGUCACUUGAUUAAGGAAAGAGUCAAAAGCCCGAUAGACCCGAACUAUGAACUAAUCAAUGCUCUUUCCAGCUCAGACUGCAUAGGUUUAGCGUAUGGGGCUGUCACGUGAAUAAGAAACGAGUCAAAAACCCGAUAGACCCGAACUAUGAACUAAUCAAUACUCUUACCGGCUCAGACUGCAUUGGUUAAGUGUUAUGGGUCUGUCACGU